rnacentral:rRNA from 1 species
AGGGGUGAAGCCUGCCCAGUGGUAAAACCUAAACGGCCGCGGUAUCUUGACCGUGCAAAGGUAGCAUAAUCAUUUGUCCCUUAAAUAGGGACCUGUAUGAAUGGCAUCACAUUUUCCUACUGUCUCCUCUCUUCCCCUUUUAAACUUCUAAUAACGUGAAGAAGCGUUAAUUCUUAAGAAAGACGAGAAGACCCUGUCGAGCUUAAGCCCAAAAAGAGAAAACUAAAUUUUCUACAGAAAAAAUAACCUCUUUUUAAGCUUUGGUUGGGGUAACCAUGGAGUAAACUUAACCUCCAGUUUUUAAAAAAGAAAUAUUAAUCUUUUUAAAAAAUAAAGAACCAGAAAACUCUGGCAAACAGAAAAAGUUACCGCAGGGGUAACAGCGUUAUCUUUUUUGAGAGUUCUCAUUGACAAAAAGGAUUGCGACCUCGAUGUUGGAUUAGGGCUACCAAAGGGUGCAAC